rnacentral:rRNA from 1 species
GACGAACGCUGGCGGCGUGCUUAACACAUGCAAGUCGAACGGAAAGGCCCUGCUUUUGUGGGGUGCUCGAGUGGCGAACGGGUGAGUAACACGUGAGUAACCUGCCCUUGACUUUGGGAUAACUUCAGGAAACUGGGGCUAAUACCGGAUAGGAGCUCCUGCUGCAUGGUGGGGGUUGGAAAGUUUCGGCGGUUGGGGAUGGACUCGCGGCUUAUCAGCUUGUUGGUGGGGUAGUGGCUUACCAAGGCUUUGACGGGUAGCCGGCCUGAGAGGGUGACCGGCCACAUUGGGACUGAGAUACGGCCCAGACUCCUACGGGAGGCAGCAGUGGGGAAUAUUGCACAAUGGGCGGAAGCCUGAUGCAGCAACGCCGCGUGCGGGAUGACGGCCUUCGGGUUGUAAACCGCUUUCGCCUGUGACGAAGCGUGAGUGACGGUAAUGGGUAAAGAGGCACCGGCUAACUACGUGCCAGCAGCCGCGGUGAUACGUAGGGCGCGAGCGUUGUCCGGAUUUAUUGGGCGUAAAGGGCUCGUAGGUGGUUGAUCGCGUCGGAAGUGUAAUCUUGGGGCUUAACCCUGAGCGUGCUUUCGAUACGGGUUGACUUGAGGAAGGUAGGGGAGAAUGGAUUCCUGGUGGAGCGGUGGAAUGCGCAGAUAUCAGGAGGAACACCAGUGGCGAAGGCGGUUCUCUGGGCCUUUCCUGACGCUGAGGAGCGAAAGCGUGGGGAGCGAACAGGCUUAGAUACCCUGGUAGUCCACGCUGUAAACGGUGGGUACUAGGUGUGGGGUCCAUUCCACGGGUUCCGCGCCGUAGCUAACGCUUUAAGUACCCCGCCUGGGGAGUACGGCCGCAAGGCUAAAACUCAAAGGAAUUGACGGGGCCCCGCACAAGCGGCGGAGCAUGCGGAUUAAUUCGAUGCAACGCGUAGAACCUUACCUGGGUUUGACAUGGAUCGGGAGUGCUCAGAGAUGGGUGUGCCUCUUUUGGGGUCGGUUCACAGGUGGUGCAUGGCUGUCGUCAGCUCGUGUCGUGAGAUGUUGGGUUAAGUCCCGCAACGAGCGCAACCCUUGUUCACUGUUGCCAGCACGUUAUGGUGGGGACUCAGUGGAGACCGCCGGGGUCAACUCGGAGGAAGGUGGGGAUGACGUCAAGUCAUCAUGCCCCUUAUGUCCAGGGCUUCACGCAUGCUACAAUGGCUGGUACAGAGAGUGGCGAGCCUGUGAGGGUGAGCGAAUCUCGGAAAGCCGGUCUCAGUUCGGAUUGGGGUCUGCAACUCGACCUCAUGAAGUCGGAGUCGCUAGUAAUCGCAGAUCAGCAACGCUGCGGUGAAUACGUUCCCGGGGCU